AUUGAACGCUGGCGGCAGGCCUAACACAUGCAAGUCGAGCGGCGGCGGACGGGUGCGUAAUGCCUAGGAAUCUGCCUGGUCGCGGGGGACAACGUCCGGAAACGGGCCCUAAUACCGCCUACUAUCAGAUGUGCCUAGGUCGGAUUAGCCUGUAGGGGAGGUAACGGCUCACCUCGGCGACGAUCCCUAGCUGGUCUGAGAGGAUGACCAGCCACACUGGAACGAAGACACGGUCCAGACUCCUACGAGAGGCAGCAGUGGGGAAUAUUGCACAAAGGGCGCAAGCCUGAUGCAGCCAUGCCGCGUGUAUGAAGAAGGCCUUCGGGUUGUAAAGUACUUUCAGCGGGGAGGCGUUACCCGCAGAAGAAGCACCGGCUAACUCCGUGCCAGCCGCCGCGGUAAUUC
rnacentral:rRNA from 1 species